rnacentral:rRNA from 1 species
GAUGAACGCUAGCUACAGGCUUAACACAUGCAAGUCGAGGGGCAGCAUGAACUUAGCUUGCUAAGUUUGAUGGCGACCGGCGCACGGGUGAGUAACACGUAUCCAACCUGCCGAUGACUCGGGGAUAGCCUUUCGAAAGAAAGAUUAAUACCCGAUGGCAUAGUUCUUCCGCAUGGUAGAACUAUUAAAGAAUUUCGGUCAUCGAUGGGGAUGCGUUCCAUUAGGUUGUUGGCGGGGUAACGGCCCACCAAGCCUUCGAUGGAUAGGGGUUCUGAGAGGAAGGUCCCCCACAUUGGAACUGAGACACGGUCCAAACUCCUACGGGAGGCAGCAGUGAGGAAUAUUGGUCAAUGGACGAGAGUCUGAACCAGCCAAGUAGCGUGAAGGAUGACUGCCCUAUGGGUUGUAAACUUCUUUUAUACGGGAAUAAAGUGAGGCACGUGUGCCUUUUUGUAUGUACCGUAUGAAUAAGGAU